GACGAACCGUGCGAACGUUGUUCGGAAUCACUGGGCUUAAAGGGCGCGUAGGCGGCCUGUUAAGUCGAACGUGAAAUCCCCGGGCUCAACCCGGGAACUGCGUCCGAUACUGGCAGGCUUGAAUUCGGGAGAGGGAUGUGGAAUUCCAGGUGUAGCGGUGAAAUGCGUAGAUAUCUGGAGGAACACCGGUGGCGAAGGCGGCAUCCUGGACCGAUAUUGACGCUGAUGCGCGAAAGCCAGGGGAGCAAACGGG
rnacentral:rRNA from 1 species